CAGUCGCCGCGGUAAUACAGAGGAUGCAAGCGUUAUCCGGAUUUAUUGGGCGUAAAGAGCUCGUAGGCGGCUAAGUAAGUCGGGUGUUAAAUCCCCAGGCUCAACCUGGGACACCACCCGAUACUGCUUUGGCUAGAGUCCGGUAGGGGAGCGUGGAAUUCCUGGUGUAGCGGUGAAAUGCGCAGAUAUCAGGAGGAACACCAGCGGCGAAGGCGGCGCUCUGGGCCGGAACUGACGCUGAGGAGCGAAAGCGUGGGUAGCAAACAGGAUUAGAUACCCCUGUAGUCCCUGUCUCUUAUAU
rnacentral:rRNA from 1 species